GCCGCUGACUGGAUAACAGUGUUAUUAUUGUAAUAGUUACUAUUUUUAUCGGCGAUGGUGACCUCACCGUUCUUCAAUUGAGAGUCGGCUUCGGCAAUGGCAGCGGCGGGGGCGACGGCGGGAAUAGCGCCUAGCUUGAGGAAGGCUAGCUUCUUGGUGCGAUUACCGAUGAUCUGGUUCUUGACUUCUCUGAGUGCCUUGAGCUUAAUAUCAGGAGCGAGAGAGGCAAGACGGUUGAGAAGGUCCAUAGGGCGGUGAGCCAGGGCAGCGGAGGGGGUUCGCACGGCGGCAGAGUGGCAU
rnacentral:misc_RNA from 1 species